rnacentral:rRNA from 1 species
AACGAACGCUGGCGGCAUGCCUAACACAUGCAAGUCGAACGAGACCUUCGGGUCUAGUGGCGCACGGGUGCGUAACGCGUGGGAACCUGCCCUUAGGUUCGGAAUAACUCCCCGAAAGGGGUGCUAAUACCGGAUAAUGUCUUCGGACCAAAGAUUUAUCGCCUUUGGAUGGGCCCGCGUUGGAUUAGCUAGUUGGUAGGGUAAAAGCCUACCAAGGCGACGAUCCAUAGCUGGUCUGAGAGGAUGAUCAGCCACACUGGGACUGAGACACGGCCCAGACUCGUACGGGAGGCGGCAGUGGGGAAUAGUGGAGAAUGGGUGAAAGUCUGAUGCAGCAAUGCCGCGUGAGUGAUGAAGGCGUUAGGGUUGUAAAGCUCUUUUACCAGGGAGGAUAAUGACAGUACCGGGAGAAUAAGCGCCGGCUAACUCCGUG